GUGCUUGCUAUAGAAGCACAUAUACUAAAAUUGGAAAGAUACAGAGAAGAUUACCUUGGCCCCUAAACAAGGAUGACAUGAAAAUCUGUGAAGCAUUUUAAUUAAAA